rnacentral:rRNA from 1 species
UACGUAGGGUGCGAGCGUUGUCCGGAAUUAUUGGGCGUAAAGGGCUCGUAGGCGGUCUGUCACGUCGGGAGUGAAAACUCAGGGCUUAACCCUGAGCCUGCUUCCGAUACGGGCAGACUAGAGGUAUGCAGGGGAGAACGGAAUUCCUGGUGUAGCGGUGAAAUGCGCAGAUAUCAGGAGGAACACCGGUGGCGAAGGCGGGUCUCUGGGCCGAUACUGACGCUGAGGAGCGAAAGCGUGGGGAGCGAACAGG